ensembl:snRNA U6 U6 spliceosomal RNA
GUGCUUGCUUUGGCAGCACAUAUGCUAAAAUUGGCACUAUGCAGAGAAUAUUAGCAUGGCCCCUGAGCAAAGAUGAUACACAAAUUCAUGGAGUGUUCCAUAUUUUU